rnacentral:rRNA from 1 species
GAUGAACGCUGGCGGCGUGCCUAAUACAUGCAAGUCGAGCGAACAGAUAAGGAGCUUGCCCCUUUGACGUUAGCGGCGGACGGGUGAGUAACACGUGGGUAACCUACCUAUAAGACUGGAAUAACUCCGGGAAACCGGGGCUAAUGCCGGAUAACAUUUAGAACCGCAUGGUUCUAAAGUGAAAGAUGGUUUUGCUAUCACUUAUAGAUGGACCCGCGCCGUAUUAGCUAGUUGGUAAGGUAACGGCUUACCAAGGCAACGAUACGUAGCCGACCUGAGAGGGUGAUCGGCCACACUGGAACUGAGACACGGUCCAGACUCCUACGGGAGGCAGCAGUAGGGAAUCUUCCGCAAUGGGCGAAAGCCUGACGGAGCAACGCCGCGUGAGUGAUGAAGGUCUUCGGAUCGUAAAACUCUGUUAUUAGGGAAGAACAAAUGUGUAAGUAACUGUGCACGUCUUGACGGUACCUAAUCAGAAAGCCACGGCUAACUACGU